rnacentral:rRNA from 1 species
CCUACGGGAGGCAGCAGUGGGGAAUAUUGCACAAUGGGGGAAACCCUGAUGCAGCGACGCCGCGUGAGUGAAGAAGUAAUUCGUUAUGUAAAGCUCUAUCAGCAGGGAAGAAAAUGACGGUACCUGAGUAAGAAGCCCCGGCUAACUACGUGCCAGCAGCCGCGGUAAUACGUAGGGGGCAAGCGUUAUCCGGAUUUACUGGGUGUAAAGGGAGCGUAGACGGCAGUGCAAGUCUGGAGUGAAAGGCGGGGGCUCAACCCCGGAACUGCUCUGGAAACUGUGAAGCUGGAGUGCAGGAGAGGUAAGCGGAAUUCCUGUUGUAGCGGUGACAUGCGUCGAUAUCAGGAGGAACCCCGUCGUCGAAGGCGGCUUACUGGACUGUACCUGACGUUGCGGCUCG